rnacentral:misc_RNA from 1 species
AACUUUCAACAACGGAUCUCUUGGUUCUCCCAUCGAUGAAGAACGCAGCGAAACGCGAUAGGUAAUGUGAAUUGCAGAAUUCCGUGAAUCAUCGAAUCUUUGAACGCACCUUGCGCUCCAUGGCAUUCCGUGGAGCAUGCCUGUUUGAGUGCCGCGAAAUCUCCCACCCCUAGCGGUUGCCGCAAGGCGCCGCCGGGCGGCGGGGUUGGUUGGGUGCCGCUGCCUGGGCUUUGGCCCAGGCUCGCCCGAAAUGCAUGAGCGCUUAGCACUCGCACCGUCUCGAGGGAAGGCGGCGGAGCUGGCAUCUGCGCAUGGCAUGAUACGUCAUUUGCUGUGUGGCAGCCCAGCGACCCGAGAGUGUGUGUGCGCUACUACACGCCCUUUCAUUUCUGGUCUCAAAUCAGGUAGGAUCACCCGCUGAACUUAAGCAUAUCAAUAAGCGGAGGCU